AUUGAACGCUGGCGGCAUGCCUUACACAUGCAAGUCGAACGGCAGCGGGGGAGAAGCUUGCUUUUCCUGCCGGCGAGUGGCGAACGGGUGAGUAAUACAUCGGAACGUGCCCUGUAGUGGGGGAUAACUAGUCGAAAGAUUAGCUAAAACCGCAUACGACCUGAGGGUGAAAGUGGGGGACCGCAAGGCCUCAUGCUAUAGGAGCGGCCGAUGUCUGAUUAGCUAGUUGGUGGGGUAAAGGCCUACCAAGGCGACGAUCAGUAGCUGGUCUGAGAGGACGAUCAGCCACACUGGGACUGAGACACGGCCCAGACUCCUACGGGAGGUAGCAGUGGGGAAUUUUGGACAAUGGGCGAAAGCCUGAUCCAGCAAUGCCGCGUGUGUGAAGAAGGCCUUCGGGUUGUAAAGCACUUUUGUCCGGAAAGAAAUGGCUCUGGUUAAUACCUGGGGUCGAUGACGGUACCGGAAGAAUAAGGACCGGCUAACUACGUGCCAGCAGCCGCGGUAA
rnacentral:rRNA from 1 species